UGUUCAUAAUAUAAUAAGCACUUAAUAAUCCUAAAUUCAUCGUGUUUUAUUGCGCAUCGUACAUAAAAGCCAUCUUAAUUACUUUUGAAAUUCAUAUUUCUAAGCAAGACUGAAAAUAUCAUCUGAUUGAUAUGACGUCAAAAGUAAGUUCGGCUUCGAAAAUAGUGCGUAGCAAUUAUAUAGCUGCCAUUUUAACUUGUCGCUUUUUAAUUUUAGUUGAUAUAAAAUGGUGCCUACGAGCAGCGACGAGAGAUGUCUAUCAUAAAACAAACAUUCACUAUACGAAAAGCCACAUUUGAACAUCCUGUAAUAGUGGUUGAGAUUGAAGAUGAGGUGAUCAUCGGGAAGGACAUAAUAUCGAGUUAAGCUUUAAGCAGUUAGUCCUGAAGAUAGACCCUGAGGAAGUUGUUUUACAUCAUGACAGAGAUUACAGUUGUUGGGUCCUACUUCUAAAGAAUACCAGAUGAAAUGAUACCAGAACCGCGAGAUCAUUUUGGAGGUCGUAGUCAUGAACCCGAAAUGCAUGACAUGGCUGUUGAUCGAAGGAUAGCGGUUAGAAAGAUCUUUGUUCGUAAUGGAAGCAGUAUUUCUGUGGAGUUUUAGCAAUACUUCGACAAGUUUCGCAUGUGGAAAAGAACCGGGAAGCCAUUUUGAAAGAAUUAUAUGAGCUGGUAUGAUCGUCAGAAACCGGUCUAAGGCCAGACCAAAGAAGAGCGCUAAGACAGAUAUUGAGAUGUUUUUGAUCAUGUGAAGAAAGAGAGGAUUAACAUAGUCCAACACAAAAUCAAUAAAAAACAAUGCUCACUUGUCAAAAGAGAGGAGACUGAUAACAUUACUGAGAGUAUGGCCAAAGAAGGUAUCAUAGAACUUUCUAGCAAUCUAUGGUCUUCACCUGUGGUACUGGUAAAGAAGAAAGACGGCUCCCCAGAUUUUUCGUAGAUUACUGGGAGCUUAAUAUCCUGACUAAAAAGCAGAGCUAUCCCCUUCCUCGCUUCAUUGGCGCUUGGGACACCCUGGCUGGAUCGAAAAUCUUUUCCAUGCUAGACCUGCAAAGUGGAUACUGCUAAGUUAAGUUGGCCCCUGAAGAUCGGAAAAAAACGGCUUUUAGGAUAAAUGUUGGACUAAGCAGGAAAAUCGUUUAAGGACCACAUGAAAAUGUUUGAGGCUACGAGGUUCUGCACUUAAGUUGAGCCCAAAUUAAUGUAAUGUGUUUCAAAGAACUGUGCGGUAUCUGGGACACUUCGUUUCCAGCCAAGGAAUUGCAAGUGACAAGGCAAAGGUGCACACUGUCAAAGAUUGACCUACGGUAAAUAUGUAUUGGAAUUGUCACUAAUAAGAAAACUAAAACUAGGCAUUUUUAUUAAUUAAAACUACAAUAAAACAAAUUCAGACAGAGUAGAGACGGUAGUGUAAGAACAUGAACUUUAAAGCUCUUUUAAAUUCUGGCAAUGUUUUAGGAGUUCUUACAUUUCCAGGUAAGUGAUUACAAUUUUUAAGAGGCGUCCAUCCCGGACAUCAGAUAAUCUGACAAAAGAAAUAUAACAUUUAUUUGCAUUUCUAGUACUAAAAUAAUUGAGAUCUUCACACUUUACAAGAUUACCAGAACUUUUAAAGACUUCACAAGCAUAUGGGAACAUAAAGAUGUUUAUGACGGUUGAGAUUUUUUCCUUUUUAAAUAGAUUGAUAUAGAACACGACUUCCUAAAUAAAAGACUAAAAAACCACCGAAUAAUAAUUUAUUAUUCACAUAUUAGUACUCUCUCAACAUGGCAAGAAUCUCCCCAAGAAGUCAAACCGUAGAAAAUUAUUGAACUAACUGCAGCAUAGUAAAAUGUUGUUAAGAAAAAGGAAUCAACAAAAUCUCUCAAUUGCAAAAUGGUAAAGUUGCUUCGAGACAGCUUAUUUGCACACUGAAAUCGUGUAAUACCUGGUCAUAUCAUAACAAAUAGCUGUCAACAAUAAAACCUAAAAAUUUGGCAGUUUUGUGCUGGAUCGAGUUGUAAGAACCAUCCUCCAGAAGCAAGCUCUUAUCCUAAGUGACUCAGUUUGUGAUGAACACUAUAAAAUUUACCAUAUCUUUAAACUAUUCAAGCAAAGACUAUUUUUGUAACACCAGAAUACAAAUUGCUGGCUAGUGAAUGGAGAUUUUUAUAGUCUUGACUAGCCACUAUGGCUGACGUAUCAUCUGCAAAAAGGGUUACAUAGCAGUAUUCAACAAUAAGAGGCAAAUCAUUUAUAAAUAGCAGAAAGAGGAUGCGUCUCAGCAUGAGCCUCGCAGCUUCUUGGCAGGGAUUAUGCACUUACUACCGACGCUAUGUGAAAGGAUUCGUUAAUAUCGCAAAACUAUUGACCAGACACACAGAAGAAUAUAUAGAAAUACAUUUCCAAUGGCCUCAAGUUUUGCUUUCAAUCACCUAAAGGUGGCUCUGACAAGCGCAUCUAUCCUGAGCCCUAUCUGAAGGAAAAAUUAUACUAGACACCAACGCUAGCAAUGUGGCCUUUGGAGCCGUGCUAUCUCAAAUCCAGGAUGGCCUAAAUGAAUUGGCUAUUUUAGUAAGAUAGAGCAUAACUAUUGCGCCACUUGCCGAGGCUUACUAGUUGUCAAAGCGAUGGAGCACUUCUACCAUUACUUGUAUGGGAGGAAGUUUCUGCUGGGAACUGAUCAUGCCGCUUUGAAAUUGCUCCUGCAAUUUAAAAAUCCGGCGGGUGAAGUGGCAAGAUAAAGAGGUUACAGGAGUUUGACUGUGACACUAAACACCGAGCAUGAAGAAUCCAUGGCGAUGCAAAUGUCUUAUCAAAAAGGGUCUUCUCCUGAAGACUGCAAUCAUUGUCAGCGGGCAGUAAAGAAAGAUGCUCGGUUAAUACCAAAAGUAUAUUUAGUCCCGAUAUCUAGAUAGUUCUAACCUGGUUAAAGCAAGGGAUUAAACCGAUUUAGAAAGAAGUUGCUAAGUAUUCUACCACUAUCAAGUCAUAUUGAGCAUAAUGGAACUCCUUAAUUCAGAAAGGUGGACUCUUGCGACGAAAAACUUUUUUAUCUGUUUAGAAAAUUGUUUGAAAACUAAGGGAAGGAUUUUUACUAGGUCAAUAGCAAGUCAGACGUAAGGGACCAGUGAAGGAAAUGCAUUGUUUGUGAACCAAGUCCUGGACCGCAGAAAAAGCAAAAGGCUUUGAUGUGUCAGUACAACGUGGGUCCCUUUGAAUUGAUUGCUAGUGACGUUACUGGUCCGUUUUCUAAACCAGCAGCAGGAAAUAAGUACAUUGUGAUCAUGUUGGACUACUUUAGCAAAUAGGUUGAGGCAUACCUCUACCAAACCUGGAAGCAUCUACUAUCGCAGACGCCUUAAUAAAAGAAUGGAUCUGCUAAUUUGGUGUACCUUUAAACAUGCAUGCAUUGGGAUAGGUUUCUUCAUUUGUUCCUGCUUGCUUAUCGAUCGGUUAUCGAUGAAAGCACAGGAGAGUGCUCUAUUGUUUCCGGCUUGAAAAAUGAUGGAAAGAGAACUGCGUCUCCCAUACUAUCUAAAGUUUGGUUGCCCGUCAUAAACUGAUGUUGCCGGAGAGGAAUACGACAGGGAGCUGCCUAGAAAAAUGGAUGUCAUUCAUAGUCAAGUACAUAUUUCUAUCUGAGCCAAGAUGCUAGCAAGCAAUUAAAGGACACAUAUGAUAUUAACGCCAAAGAUUAAAGGUAUAACAACGAUUUUUUUCGGUUCGGCUUUAUGGCCCAAAGAGAUGAAAGGGUUUGCCUCCGAAACUUUAAACCUCUUGGGAUGGACCAUAAAAAAUUCUGGAAUGCAUCAAAGAUGUUCUUUACAGAAUACAAAAGACGCUGAGGGAUAAAGUUCGAAUCAUUCGCAUUAACCGACUGGCUUCUUAUUAUGGAAACCACGAAGACGCUGAGCUACAGCAAAUCGAAUUGGAAUAGGAUUUCACAUUUCAUUCAUGUCAUCAUUUUAAUGACCGAUACGGCAUGAUUUGUGAAGUGCAAGUUUUUCGAGUUUUUUUGCAGAAAAUUCGGAAAAAUUUAAGAGCUGCGGUCUAACUACGGCUGGUAGAAAUAUUUUCUUCUUGGUUGCCAAAGAGACGUUACAUGAGAAGCCAACCUAUAACGAAAUUUGGGACUUUACAGAAGGAUAAUGCUCUUACCAUAAAUUGGGCUAGAUCAUAGUAGAUCGUCCCUAUCACUAAGUGGACCGUAAAAAUAAAUUCAAUCACAAGAAGAAAAUGUUAUUAUAAGCCGAAUACGUCCUUUGAUAAAUCCAAAAUUCACAGGAAUGUAAACUUUUAUUACGAAGGGACAACUGAUGCCAAUAGCCAAGUUGACUGAAUUCUGAAAUCUGAAAUCAUCUCCGUUCUCGCAUUUGUCGCUUGUCUUAAACACUGUUAACUGUGCUGCGCCAUGUUGCCAAUUACUUAUUAGAUAGUCAGUGGGGACAACAAAACCCAGUGGUUGCUUUUGCGACCGAUCUAGAUAAUUUUGCUAUAAAUUUAUGAUAAAUACUCUAUUUUCCCUGGUUUUUAAAUGUUUUGUAAAUCCUAUACCUAAUUACUUCUCUACCAGAUCAACAUAUAAAUUACCUACAUUUAUAGGGUUUGUUAGACCUUUGGCAAAAGGGCACUCCGAUUUGACAGUUGUCUAAUUUAUCCUUAAUUCGUUGUCUUUUCCUAUCAAAGCAAAGAAGCAUGCAAAUCGUGUUUUUUCUGUUUACACUACUGAAAUCAGAAAUAUCAAAAAUACAAUUUAGAAGUACAUAUUUAAAAAUACGUAUAUUUAAAAAAAUCUUUCCUGGCAUAGAGUUGUAUUAACAAAAAUUUAUCUAUUUUGUUAUCGUCAUAUUAUGUCCAAUACAUGACGUAAAAUGUCCUAAACGUACGUAUAUAUGAUGUAGAAAUUUGCGGAAAGUGGAAGUCCUAUAUAAGUUCAUAGUACGUAAUACGUCUUAAGAAGUACGCACUGAGCACGAACAUUAUGUCGUCGAGUACGUACAAAAUACGUCUUUAGUGCGUAUCUGUGCUGUUUGGAAUAUUUUUUUUUAAUUCUAUGCAAUUGAAUAAUUUCAAUAGCCAUUCUUUCAUGGCAAUAUAUGUAAAUAUCUCCGGGAAACUUGCGAUCAGCUGACCGAGCCACAAAACCAACUGGCAAUAUUGAUCGCAGCUUUUGCCGGCAUUUUAAAUAAAUUUCAUUCAAUGAAAUUAAAUGUAUUUGUAUAAUCAAAUAAACAUUACAAUUUAAAUUAA
rnacentral:lncRNA from 1 species